GACGAGCGCUGGCGGCGUGCUUAACACAUGCAAGUCGUACGGUAAGGCCCUUUCGGGGGUACACGAGUGGCGAACGGGUGCGUAACACGUGAGUAACCUGCCCACAACUUUGGGAUAACGCUAGGAAACUGGUGCUAAUACUGGAUAUGUGCUCCUGCUGCAUGGUGGGGGUUGGAAAGCUCCGGCGGUUGUGGAUGGACUCGCGGCCUAUCAGCUUGUUGGUGGGGUAGUGGCCUACCAAGGCGGCGACGGGUAGCCGGCCUGAGAGGGUGACCGGCCACAUUGGGACUGAGAUACGGCCCAGACUCCUACGGGAGGCAACAGUGGGGAAUAUUGCACAAUGGGCGCAAGCCUGAUGCAGCAACGCCGCGUGCGGGAUGACGGCCUUCGGGUUGUAAACCGCUUUCAGCAGGGACGAAGCUUUUUGUGACGGUACCUGCAGAAGAAGCACCGGCUAACUACGUG
rnacentral:rRNA from 1 species